rnacentral:rRNA from 1 species
UACGGGGGAGCAAGCGUUGUUCGGAUUUACUGGGCGUAAAGGGCGCGUAGGCGGCCACCGCAAGUCGACUGUGAAAUCUCUGGGCUUAACCCAGAAAGGUCAGCCGAUACUGCGGGGCUAGAGUGCAGAAGGGGCAACUGGAAUUCUCGGUGUAGCGGUGAAAUGCGUAGAUAUCGAGAGGAACACCUGCGGCGAAGGCGGGUUGCUGGGCUGACACUGACGCUGAUGAGCGAAAGCCAGGGGAGCAAACGGG